rnacentral:rRNA from 1 species
ACGCUGGCGGCGUGCCUAAUACAUGCAAGUCGUACGCUUCUUUUUCCACCGGAGCUUGCUCCACCGGAAAAAGAAGAGUGGCGAACGGGUGAGUAACACGUGGGUAACCUGCCCAUCAGAAGGGGAUAACACUUGGAAACAGGUGCUAAUACCGUAUAACAAUCGAAACCGCAUGGUUUUGAUUUGAAAGGCGCUUUCGGGUGUCGCUGAUGGAUGGACCCGCGGUGCAUUAGCUAGUUGGUGAGGUAACGGCUCACCAAGGCUACGAUGCAUAGCCGACCUGAGAGGGUGAUCGGCCACAUUGGGACUGAGACACGGCCCAAACUCCUACGGGAGGCAGCAGUAGGGAAUCUUCGGCAAUGGACGAAAGUCUGACCGAGCAACGCCGCGUGAGUGAAGAAGGUUUUCGGAUCGUAAAACUCUGUUGUUAGAGAAGAACAAGGAUGAGAGUAACUGUUCAUCCCUUGACGGUAUCUAACCAGAAAGCCACGGCUAACUACGUGCCAGCAGCCGCGGUAAUACGUAGGUGGCAAGCGUUGUCCGGAUUUAUUGGGCGUAAAGCGAGCGCAGGCGGUUUCUUAAGUCUGAUGUGAAAGCCCCCGGCUCAACCGGGGAGGGUCAUUGGAAACUGGGAGACUUGAGUGCAGAAGAGGAGAGUGGAAUUCCAUGUGUAGCGGUGAAAUGCGUAGAUAUAUGGAGGAACACCAGUGGCGAAGGCGGCUCUCUGGUCUGUAACUGACGCUGAGGCUCGAAAGCGUGGGGAGCAAACAGGAUUAGAUACCCUGGUAGUCCACGCCGUAAACGAUGAGUGCUAAGUGUUGGAGGGUUUCCGCCCUUCAGUGCUGCAGCUAACGCAUUAAGCACUCCGCCUGGGGAGUACGACCGCAAGGUUGAAACUCAAAGGAAUUGACGGGGGCCCGCACAAGCGGUGGAGCAUGUGGUUUAAUUCGAAGCAACGCGAAGAACCUUACCAGGUCUUGACAUCCUUUGACCACUCUAGAGAUAGAGCUUCCCCUUCGGGGGCAAAGUGACAGGUGGUGCAUGGUUGUCGUCAGCUCGUGUCGUGAGAUGUUGGGUUAAGUCCCGCAACGAGCGCAACCCUUAUUGUUAGUUGCCAUCAUUUAGUUGGGCACUCUAGCAAGACUGCCGGUGACAAACCGGAGGAAGGUGGGGAUGACGUCAAAUCAUCAUGCCCCUUAUGACCUGGGCUACACACGUGCUACAAUGGGAAGUACAACGAGUCGCGAAGUCGCGAGGCUAAGCUAAUCUCUUAAAGCUUCUCUCAGUUCGGAUUGUAGGCUGCAACUCGCCUACAUGAAGCCGGAAUCGCUAGUAAUCGCGGAUCAGCACGCCGCGGUGAAUACGUUCCCGGGCCUUGUACACACCGCCCGUCACACCACGAGAGUUUGUAACACCCGAAGUCGGUGAGGUAACCUUUUGGAGCCAGCCGCCUAAGGUGGGAU